GCUGGGCAUGGCGGUGCACGCCUGUAAUUCCAGCUCCUUGGGAGGCUGAGACAGGGGGAUCGUGAGUUCAAAGCCAGCCUCAGCAACUCAAUGAGAUCCUGUUUCUA
rnacentral:sRNA from 1 species